rnacentral:rRNA from 1 species
GACGAACGCUGGCGGCGUGCUUUACACAUGCAAGUCGAACGGGAUCCAUCUUGAUUCUUUUUGUUUCUUGGUGGUGAGAGUGGCGAACGGGUGAGUAACACGUGAGUAACCUGCCCUUUUCUUUUGGAUAACCGCAUGAAAGUGUGGCUAAUACGGGAUAUUCUGCUUCCUUCGCAUGGGGGUGGUGGGAAAGGCUUCAAUGUUUUUGUUGUUGUGGAUUGGGAUGGGCUCGCGGCUUAUCAGCUUGUUGGUGGGGUGAUGGCUUACCAAGGCUUUGACGGGUAGCCGGCCUGAGAGGGUGGGCGGUCACAUUGGGACUGAGAUACGGCCCAGACUCCUACGGGAGGCAGCAGUGGGGGAUUUUGCACAAUGGACGCAAGUCUGAUGCAGUGACGCCGCGUGAGGGAUGACGGCCUUCGGGUUGUAAACCUUUUUCGCUGGGUUGAAAGGCCGCUUUUGUGGUGGUUGAUUGAUACUGGUAAAGAAGUACCGGCUAACUACGUGCCAGCAGCCGCGGUAAUACGUAGGGUACUAGCGUUGUCCGGUUUUAUUGGGCGUAAAGGGCUUGUAGGUGGUUUGUCGCGUCUGUCGUGAAAUCCCAUGGCUUAACUGUGGGCUUGCGGUGGGUACGGGCAGGCUUGAGUGCGGUAGGGGAGACUGGAAUUCCUGGUGUAGCGGUGGAAUGCGCAGAUAUCAGGAGGAACACCGGUGGCGAAGGCGGGUCUCUGGGCCGUUACUGACGCUGAGGAGCGAAAGCGUGGGGAGCGAACAGG